GGUAGUCCACGCCGUAAACGAUGUCGACUUGGAGGUUGUGCCCUUGAGGCGUGGCUUCCGGAGCUAACGCGUUAAGUCGACCGCCUGGGGAGUACGGCCGCAAGGUUAAAACUCAAAUGAAUUGACGGGGGCCCGCACAAGCGGUGGAGCAUGUGGUUUAAUUCGAUGCAACGCGAAGAACCUUACCUGGUCUUGACAUCCAGAGAAUCCUGCAGAGAUGCGGGAGUGCCUUCGGGAACUCUGAGACAGGUGCUGCAUGGCUGUCGUCAGCUCGUGUUGUGAAAUGUUGGGUUAAGUCCCGCAACGAGCGCAACCCUUAUCCUUUGUUGCCAGCACGUCAUGGUGGGAACUCAAAGGAGACUGCCGGUGAUAAACCGGAGGAAGGUGGGGAUGACGUCAAGUCAUCAUGGCCCUUACGACCAGGGCUACACACGUGCUACAAUGGCGCAUACAAAGAGAAGCGACCUCGCGAGAGCAAGCGGACCUCAUAAAGUGCGUCGUAGUCCGGAUUGGAGUCUGCAACUCGACUCCAUGAAGUCGGAAUCGCUAGUAAUCGUGGAUCAGAAUGCCACGGUGAAUACGUUCCCGGGCCUUGUACACACCGCCCGUCACACCAUGGGAGUGGGUUGCAAAAGAAGUAGGUAGCUUAACCUUCGGGAGGGCGCUUACCACUUUGUGAUUCAUGACUGGGGUGAAGUCGUAACAAGGUAACC
rnacentral:rRNA from 1 species